rnacentral:rRNA from 1 species
UGGGGAAUAUUGCGCAAUGGGCGAAAGCCUGACGCAGCGACGCCGCGUGAGGGAUGAAGGUUUUCGGAUCGUAAACCUCUGUCAGAAGGGAAGAAACCGCACUGUGCUAAUCAGCAGCGCCUUGACGGUACCUUCAAAGGAAGCACCGGCUAACUCCGUGCCAGCAGCCGCGGUAAUACGGAGGGUGCAAGCGUUAAUCGGAAUUACUGGGCGUAAAGCGCACGUAGGCUGCUUUGUAAGUCAGGGGUGAAAUCCCACGGCUCAACCGUGGAACUGCCUUUGAUACUGCUUAGCUUGAAUCCGGGAGAGGGUGGCGGAAUUCCAGGUGUAGGAGUGAAAUCCGUAGAUAUCUGGAGGAACAUCAGUGGCGAAGGCGGCCACCUGGACCGGUAUUGACGCUGAGGUGCGAAAGCGUGGGGAGCAAACAGG